rnacentral:misc_RNA from 1 species
AUGUGGUGUUUGCUGUUACGUUAAGAUGGCGGACCUCGAUAUUCUCAAGAGGGACUAUCCAGUUUAUGAAGGAAUUGGUUUACCAAAGAUGGCAACAUUUUUUGAGGAGAAUGUUGAAAAAACGAUACAAAAUAUCCAAGGCUUGAAGCUUGGUCCUGAUGCAGUUAUUCUGGCCACGUUUCCUCGAUCGGGAACACACUGGGUAUACGAAAUUGUUCACAUGCUGCUUAAUAAAAAGGCAGAGUAUGCUACAAAGUCUAGAGAGGCUGUUUACUUGGAAGGUUUGUCAGACCUUGGUCCUAUGCAGUCUUAUAAUCAGGUCGUCAGCACACACCUUCCAUUCCAGUGGCUACCAAAACAGCACUUGGAGACUGGUGGCAAAAUCAUACAUGUCAUUAGGAACCCGAAAGAUGUUGCUGUUUCCUUGUAUAAAUUCUUGGAUUCUUGCAAUGCCAUACAGAAACCAUUUGAAGAGUUCUUAUUUGGAUAUUUUUUAAAAGAAAAGGCGAUGUAUGGCGGCUGGUUCGAUUACAACAAGGCGUUCAUCAGAGAGUCGGAAGCGCGAAAAGACCAAAUCAUCAUGUUGCAAUACGAAAAGCUGCAAAGAAAUACAAAAGAGGAACUCAGAAGAUUGGCCGAAUUCUUAAACAUAAAAGAUGCGGAUCCAUUGCUGCAAGACAUAGCAGAGAAGUGUAGCUUUAACAGCCUUAAAACCGCUGAAGAAACAUCGCGAAAUGAUGAUACCAUGUCGGAUAUAAUGAAAUCCAUAAAUCGGAAGAACAAUCCCACCGUAUAUAGAAAAGGUAAAAAAAAAACCCGUAUAACUAGGGUUUUUCGCGUGUCAGAAACUUUGCAAAAUUGCAGUUUAUAUGUGACUUUAAUUUGCAUGUCAGUUUCACGAUUUUAAAAGUUUCUUAAUUUUUACCGGAUACAGUUUCUGCAUAUUGUAUUUUAAGAAUGCUAAAGUGUUUUCAAAACAGCGAAAAUUAGAUAUUUGAAAAUAAUAACUACAUAUACGAUAAAUUUUUAUGCAUUCACAAGAAUGUACAAAUGUAUCUUUUUAAACAUAAUUAUUGGUUUUUAGUUUAUUGGUAAAUUUAAUAUGACAAUGACAAUGUGCAAUAUUUUAACUAAUUCUUCUGAGAAAGAAAAACGAAGUCAUCAGCUCAUAAAUGUUUACAUCAAAAACCAAGAUUCCCGUAUGUGAAAAUAUAUUGUUAUCUCUAUUUCAAUUAAUUUUUACACAAUUAAAUCAACCAAGCACUGAAAACUGACAAAUUUAAUUUUCAGGUAAAAUUGGAGACUGGAAGAAUCAUUUCACAGUAGCAAUGAGCGAAACAUUUGACAAGACAUACGCAGAUAACAUGAGAAAUGUAGCAUUGGAUAUCGAUUUUGUCUAGUGUUGAAUUUAAAAAACGGAACACAU